ensembl:lncRNA
AUUGGCUGUUGGGAAGGACCAGGUGUUGACCAUUGAUGAGCAAGAGGAAGGAUUCCAAGAUGGCGGCUGCCCCAGAGUCUUCAUUCAAAGGAGCUCCCAAAUGAGGCUGCUGCUUGUGUGUUUGUCUCCAGGACAAGCUGCAGCUACUCCUUUCCUCUCAAGAUCAGCAGGAAAGUCAAGGUCCUUGUUGUGAAUGUGUUGCCUGCCAUUUGGGUGAAUGAGUGCUGCCCACCAUCAGGCCAUCAGCCACUGCAGUCAAUAAUCUGGAAUUUCUUUUAUGUAUCCUGACUCCUCCUCUGCCUCUUUGGAACAAUUCACCUGAGAGGCUGCCUUCCAGGCUAUAGAACUCAGUACAGUCAUGUAAUAAAACAUAACUUUCUACUA